rnacentral:rRNA from 1 species
AACGUAGGAGACAAACGUUAUCCGGAGUUACUGGGCGUAAAGGGCGUGUAGGCGGUUAGUUAAGUCUGGCGUGAAAGCUCUCGGCUAAACCGGGAGAGGUCGUUGGAUACUGGCUGACUAGAGGACGGUAGAGGCGUGUGGAAUUCCGGGUGUAGUGGUGAAAUGCGUAGAGAUCCGGAGGAACAUCAGUGGCGAAGGCGACACGCUGGGCCGUACCUGACGCUAAAGCGCGACAGCAUGGGGAGCAAACGGG